GCGUGACGUCGCGUUGUAGGCUUCGCUAGUUUCCUCAACCAAACACUCAAUUGAUAUUGUGUGAUAACAACUGGAAGUCAACCGGUGGACGAGGGGCUAGUUAGUCUAAAAAAGCACACGAAACCCGCGGCCCUCCUCGAUACAAACAAACUCAGUCGUUUCUGUGCCGAAACGUGUCUUAUUAGCGAAGAAAACGGCGAAAACCCUUGCUUUUAAACCCACCAAAGGCUGGUUUUUAUUUUGCUUGUUUGCUGAAAGGCGGGGAAUACAAAGCGACUUGUCGUCAAAUCUAUCAUAUUUGGGACUUAUUGAAGCAAAACGGGAUUACUACAAAGCCAGUUCGUGCUGCUGUGACUGGUCAGCGAUAGUACAUGGAUUAUCUGUGUUUCCGGGCACUGUGCUGUAAAGGACCCCCGCCGCCAAGACCAGAGUAUGAUGUGGUGUGCAUUGGCCUGACAGGUGCUGGAAAGACCAGCCUGCUCUCACGCCUCUGUAGUGAGGGCAGCGACGGCAUCGUUCCUACAACAGGUUUCAGCAUCAAAGCGGUGCCAUUUCCAAAUGCUGUCUUGAAUGUGAAAGAACUUGGAGGAGCCGACAAUAUUAAGAAAUAUUGGAGUCGUUACUACCAGGGGUCACAGGGUGUAGUCUUCGUAUUGGACAGCGCCUCAUCGGAUGAGGACCUUGAAGCAGCACGUAACGAGCUCCACUCGGCCCUGCAGCACCCGCAGCUCUGCACCCUGCCUUUUCUCAUCCUCGCCAACCACCAGGACAAGCCUGCUGCAAGGACGCCAAACCAGGUCAAGAAGUACUUUGAGCUGGAGCCACUGGCCAGAGGGAAGCGCUGGAUCCUGGAGGGCAGCACCACCGACAACUUGGAGGCAGUGAAGGAGAGCUUUGGUUCUCUCCAUCUCUCUGUCUUUCUCUUACUCGCUCUGCUUCCCUUUGGUCACGCCAAAGCAGCCCUCCCUCAGCAUGGGCAUCCAGGAGCAGGGAAGAGGCCAGGACCUCAGCGAAGCAGCCCUCCCGGGAGAAAAAAAAGAGAGAGAGAGACAGGGAGACCUCUCCCUCUCUUCCACUCCUCCUCAAUCUCUGUCUGCACAGUUGAUUUUAUUCUGCUGAAAAAGACGCAGUCUACCUUCUCCUCCCACACUGAACCUUUACCUGCUCUACCUGUUUAAUUGCUGGUGUCUGGCUGUUCUGUUAAGAGUUGUUUCUCGUCCUUGUUGGCAGCCGACCUUCAGUGUGGCUUACAGAUAAGAAGCUGCAAAGUUAUAUUAUUGUUGUUGUGUGGUAAUGCAGUCCAGCCUUUUUGAAUCGGCCUGUGCAUUACCAAGCAACAUUAACGGAGACGUGAUGUUUACUGUGAUGGAUACGGUAUCUCAAGUCUCUGCAAGUCGAUUUUUAUAAUUCACUCAAAUUAAUGGUAAUUAAUGGCUGCCUGGAAGGGAGGAAAAACACUAACAAACUAUGGCAAGCCUAAUUGUUGGCAGGCAUAUAAAGUGAAGGUGCGAUUUGUAACAAAAGGGUGAAACAUGCCGAAAUGCCAGAGGGAUGCUUUUAAGAUUUUGCAUGUAAAGAAUGACGCCACACAAAAGCACUUUACCAGAAACAUUUCUCCCAGCAUGCAAAGCUGCAGCCUCCAGCAUAGUUUAUUUAUCAUUUGUCGUUUUGGUUUUGAUUUUCUGACACAAAGAGCUCUGCUGCAUUCAUGCCAUUACUAGUCUUCGUUGCGUUAAUAGCUUGGUUACAGUGUGAACAGUACAAACACAUUACAGUCAGUGAGAUCUCAGGAAAUCUUCCAUCGAGUGUGGAUUGGAUUUUAACAUGGGCUGAAAAUGAACCCUCAUGGUCUUAGAGUGUAGGAAGUAGACCGACCACAGAAUGAAUGAAGCCAUGUAGGUUUUAUAUUCAAUUUUAAGUUUUAAAUAACCUUACAUGUCUUUUUCAGCACAACUUCGUAAACAGUGAAGUGGCUGCCUCAGUGUUUUUACUACUGUUCACUUCUCUUCCCUCAAAUAAUCACAAACGCUUUUUAAACAGGAUAAAGUAAGCAUCGUGUAUUAUCUGCUAUCUGUAUUUCAAGUAGCAUCUGUUGAUCAGUCAAGGUAAAAAACUGAAAAAAGAACAGCAGUGAUUGCCAAUAUCGAUAGAUGUUGCACAGAAGUAAAAUAUCAACAAAACAAAAGUAUCUGCAAUAAUGUAAUUAAAUAUAUUAUGUGACAGAUUUUAGGAAACAGUUCUAAAGUAAAUAUGUGUGCAUCCAAACAGCUGGGGUUUUAGCUGUGCAUACUACAAAUGGGUGAAAUCGCAUGUGCCAGUACUGUGAAUUUGUAUUUCUUUUUACUUGACAAAAAGGUUUAAUCCAACCUUGUGACAGAAUACAGUGAUAAUAUAAAGCAAAGCAUUUUAGAGCAAAGAAUUUAAGUGACAGAGUUUAAAAUUGUAUUGGCCCCUUUGGUUGGGAAGCAUUCAUGUAAAUACGAUUCACUGUAUUUUUAUAUAUUUUGACGUACUAAUAUUAGGGCAGAAAUGUGCCACAUACAUUAUAAAGACCUACCAGAAGUAUAAACAAAUGUAGUCACACACAACAAAAUGAACCCUGUGAGCUUAGUGAAAUGCAAAUGCGCGACCCGACAGGGAACCUAACUUUCGUUUACAAGACAAACAAAAUGCAUGUUUUCUUAAACUCUGCAAAGAAUGCUCUUUUCUCUCUGUCUUCUCCCUUCUCGUGUCCAGUGUGUGUGGCAGCAUUUCUGUUGAUAAGACCCUGCUAGGAGGUGGAACAGAUGUUUCCCUGACAUCCAUCUGGGCCUCGUACCCCUGCUCUUCCUCCCACAGCCAAUGCUCCACUCAGGACACCCCACAUUCCCGGCCCCUUCACAGUGAGAGGGCUGCUCCCCUCCUCGGGAUCCUCGAGCAGUGACACUGCACAGAGAUCAGCCUUUAAGCUGCUUUCAUUCAUGAUGUGCAGCAGGAGAUUCCUCAGAGCUGACGUCCCUGGCGCUGAAUGUUAAGACGCAGGAAUCCCUCCAGUCUUGCAUGUGAUCCUGCAGAUUUGGCCUGCUGAAACUUGUGAGUUCUGCCUUCAUUCACUGCCUCAGAUUUGUGAAACACGAUCUUCACGGAUUCACAAAGUCUGAAAACCUCCCACAGCAACUGAUCCACAGCAGGAGGACAACUCUAUGGUGUGUUUGUGUGUGGUGGGGGUUAUCCUGACCUUCUGAGGGGGGGUGGUGUCACAUCCAACCUGAUAGCGGUGUGAAUGGGAAAACAGAAAAGAUGAAUACAGCAGUGGAUAAAUAGCGGAACACGGGUGUGUUAUGCUGUGGAUGCCUUCAGUCCCAGGAGAGGGCCUUCCUAACCUCAACCUUUCUUCAGCCCGAGACCUGAGAAGCAAAGGGGGAAGUCGCGCCAUCUAACAGUGUUCCUUUGAAUAGAGCAGCGCUGAAAUCCAGCAGCAUGCCUCAAAUACUUUCUGCUAGUUUUCAGUGAGAUUCGUUGCACAUGGCUGGAAACCUAAUCUGUUGGAAUAUAUCCACUUUUAAGGAUAAUUCUGGUUCUAUUUUAAGUACCCCGAAGCCUAACAUAU